CUCUGAAGAAUCACAGAUAAGAACUGACGCCAUCUUUGGCAGAAUCUUCCCUGAUCCAUCUAAAGCAGAAGAUGGCCUUCACAAGCUGAUCUUGUUGAAGGAUUGUGGAAUUUAUUCUGCAUUAGAACAUAUGUUAGAUGAAGGGGUUUUUGAGAAUUAUUUAAUAACAAGAGAUGAUGGAAACAACGGACAGCAAUUAGUGGGACAGAAAAUAAGAUUAUGGUCGCCGCUUGAUAAUUGCUAUUUCUCAGCGGAUGUGGACGUGUUAGAUCCUCAAAAUAAGAAGCAUAAGGUUUUUGCCACUCUAAAUUCUUAAUUGCUGGAAAAUGGGUAUAUAUCUGUGCUUCAUGCAUAGAUAAGGAGUGGAUU